rnacentral:lncRNA from 10 species
GUAGGUGCCCGGCCCGCCCCUCGCAGCCUCCUGACUUCCCUUCCUGUCCUCAGCGGCCGGGCCCACGGCCCCGAGCAGCCAUGCUGGGCGCGCGGGCCUGGUUGGGCCGCGUCCUUCUGCUGCCCCGCGCCGGUGCAGGCCUCGCCGCGAGCCGCAGGUGUCCUGGAGUCUGGCCCAGGACCUGGCCCCACAGGAGUCCCAGCAGGUGGGCGCUGAGUGAGGGAGUCCCCAUGUCUGGUUUCCUCUGUUUGUCCCUCACCUGGUCGAGUCCCAGACCCUACUGAUCUUGGCCUGUCCAGCCACCAACAGUAGGCUGCCUUCCAGUGGGGCCACACCCAGGCCUGCCAGAGAGAUGCCUCCAAGCAGCUGCUCCAGGAAGGGCCGGGGGAGGGGGGUAGCUCCUCCCGGGACAAGGACCGAAGUGCGACGGUCAGUAGUUCAGUGCCCAUGCCUGCUGGAGGGAAAGGAAGCCAUCCUUCAUCUACACCCCAGAGGGUCCCCAACCGCCUGAUCCACGAGAAGUCACCAUACCUCCUACAACAUGCCUACAAUCCUGUGGACUGGUACCCCUGGGGACAGGAAGCCUUCGACAAGGCCAGGAAGGAAAACAAGCCGAUUUUCCUCUCAG